rnacentral:rRNA from 1 species
GAUGAACGCUGGCGGCGUGCCUAAUACAUGCAAGUCGAGCGAACGGACUAGUAGCUUUCUUCUAUGUUGUUUGCGGCGGACGGGCGUGUAACAUAUGGAUCACCCCCCCAAAAGAAUGGGAUAACUCCGGGAAACCGUAGCUAACACCGGAUAAUCAUUUGAACCCCAUGGUUCAAAAUUAAAAGACGGUGUUUCGCGCACUGAUAGACGGUUCCUCGCUUCAUUUGCUAGUUGGUGAGGCAACGGCAUAGCAAGGCAACGAUGGAUAGCCGACCGGAGCGGGUGAUCAGCGACCCUGGAACUGAGACUGGGUCCAGACCCCUACGGGAAGGAGCAGUAGGGAAACGUCCGCAAUGGGCGAGAGCCUGACGCAGCAACGCCGCGGGAGUGGGGAAGGUCUUCGGAUUGUAAAUCGCUGUUAUUAGUGAAGAACAGAUAUGUAAGUAGCUGUGCACAACUUGACGGUACCUAAUCAAAAAGCCACGGCUAACUACGUG